GUUACAUUCUCUUUCCACUGAAAAGGAAAAAAAUUGUCUUAGCGUUAGUCAUUUUGACAGAAGCGUAAUGGUGACUGAGGUCCUGCACUAUAUUCAGAGUUGCAUCAGGAGUAAAAGCACAACCCAGUUCCUAGAAAAUGCAAAAUUAUACUUCCCCAGAAUUAGAACUAAGAGUUAGCAGUUCUUAAAACUACCAGUUGCAGUAAUAUGUCUCUAGCUUACUGGAAACAAAUGAGAAAGGCAUGAGUCCAAGGCAGAUAUCUAAGGACAAGAAACAGGAAACGCUUCUUAUUUCUGUACAAUUAUUAUACUUAUUUGUAGAAAGCAGAGAUUUUCAGUGCAAAGCCAAUAAUAAUGGUUAAGUGUUAGUCUUGUAAAGCUCUGUGAUAUCCAGAUGCCAUGAAGGGUUACUGCAAGCUGCAGUGAUAAAGGUUAGCACAAACUGGAAAUCACUGUCAUUGUUAACACAACAAUACAGCUGAAUCAUCACAUACAACAGUCAUUUCUUUAUGUGCUAACAUUCAACACUUUCCCAUCUCCCAGUCUAGACCUACAGUUGUCUCUUGUACUCACUAUAGUUGAAAUGAUGUCUUCAAGGGGCUGAAUCCUUGCUGCAGUUACGCUGUUGGUUGCUUCCACAACCUUUUCUCUUCCUUGAUUAAUGAGGUCCUCCAGCUGUUGAUUGCUCAUCGCUGACAGAGCGCCCAAAUUGAAAGGAAUAUAUGGUGUUUGAGAGUUGAAAUUAGUGGGAAGCAUGUUGGUCCCUGUCGGCAUGUUGAAACGCAUGGUCAAGCCCUUCUUUUCUGCUUCAUAUUCUGCCCAGGCCGCCUUCCUUUCCUCUUCAGUGAGCUCCUCUUCCUCCUUAUGGUCCAGGAGUGAAUCAUGCUCGUGAUACCCUACUAUAUACUCUUUAUUGAUUUGGAGCAAUUCUGCCAAGAUUGUAUCUUUUGGCAACAUCGGUGUAUCCCUCUUCUUUUUCUUUUCUGAAUUAGGAUCAUCCAGCAAAUCCGG
rnacentral:lncRNA from 1 species